CGGUUGCUUUCCCCCGAGAAGGAGAGAGAGGAGGGGGAGGCCCCCCGAUAUACCUUAUUGAUUUUGAUUCCAUACGUGGAUAACUGUGGGCAAUUCUAGAGCUAAUACAUGCACCAAAGCUCCGACUUAAUGCAAAUUAGACGAAGCGCAUCUAUUAGAAUCAAAACCAAUCGAGAUUGCGUGCGUGUUGUCGUAUGUGGAUAACAUGCGUAACGCGCGUCGAUCUCGUCGAUUUGGUGACUCUGAAUAGCUUAGCUGAUCGCAUGGUCUCGUACCGGCGACGUAUCUAUCAAGUAUCUGCCUUAUCAACUUUCGAUGGUAGUUUAUAUGACUACCAUGGUUGUAACGGGUAACGGAGAAUAAGGGUUCGACUCCGGAGAGGGAGCCUGAGAAACGGCUACCACUUCCAAGGAAGGCAGCAGGCGCGCAAAUUACCCACUCUCAGCACAGAGGAGGUAGUGACGAAAAAUAACGAGACCGUACUCGAUGAGGCCGGUUAUCGGAAUGGGCACAAUUUAAAGCCGUUAACGAGGAUCUAUGAGAGGGCAAGUCUGGUGCCAGCAGCCGCGGUAAUUCCAGCUCUCAAAGUGUAUAUCGGCAUUGCUGCGGUUAAAAAGCUCGUAGUUGGAUUUCAGCCUUACGACGUGGUCCAUUCAUUGAAUGCGAACUACGCCUCGUAGGCUAUUUGAAUGUUGGUUUUUCCUUGCGUCGCUCUCAACGGCAGCGUAAGGUGGCUGACGAGUUUACCUUGAAAAAAUUAGAGUGCUCAACGCGGGCUAAAUACGCCUGAAUACUCGUGCAUGGAAUAAUGGAAUAUGACUUCUGGUCUAUUUUGUUGGUUUUCUGAUCGGAGAUAAUGGUUAAGAGGGACAGACGGGGGCAUUCGUAUCGCUGCGUGAGAGGUGAAAUUCUUGGACCGUAGCGAGACGUCCCACUGCGAAAGCAUUUGCCAAGAAUGUCUUCAUUAAUCAAGAACGACUUCGGGUGUGCGAAAAACCCCCCCACACACACACACCCGCGCCAAAAAGGAGGAUUAACACG
rnacentral:rRNA from 1 species